rnacentral:rRNA from 1 species
UACGUAGGGGGCAAGCGUUGUCCGGAAUCAUUGGGCGUAAAGCGCGCGUAGGUGGCCCUGUAAGUCCGUUGUGAAAGUCAAAGGCUCAACCUUUGAAAGCCGAUGGAUACUGCAGGGCUAGAGUACGGAAGAGGCGAGUGGAAUUCCUGGUGUAGCGGUGGAAUGCGCAGAUAUCAGGAGGAACACCAAUAGCGAAGGCAGCUCGCUGGGACGUUACUGACACUGAGGCGCGAAAGCGUGGGGAGCGAACAGG